rnacentral:rRNA from 1 species
GUGCCAGCCGCCGCGGUAAGACAGAGGGGGCAAGCGUUGUCCGGAAUUACUGGGCGUAAAGCGCACGCAGGCGGCUCGUUACGUGUGAGGUGAAAGCUGCGGGCUUAACCCGCAGUCGCCCUUGCAUACGGGCGGGCUCGAGCCAUUCAGAGGUCCCUCGAAUUGCCGGUGUAGUGGUGAAAUGCGUAGAGAUCGGCAGGAAGACCCACGGGGAAGCCAGGGGACUGGGAAUGUGCUGACGCUCAGGUGCGAUAGCGUGGGGAGCGAACCGGAUUAGAAACCCGGGUAGUCC